rnacentral:rRNA from 1 species
CCUACGGGUGGCAGCAGUGGGGAAUAUUGGGCAAUGGGCGCAAGCCUGACCCAGCAACGCCGCGUGAAGGAAGAAGGCUUUCGGGUUGUAAACUUCUUUUCUCAGGGACGAAGCAAGUGACGGUACCUGAGUAAUAAGCCACGGCUAACUACGUGCCAGCAGCCGCGGUAAUACGUAGGGUGCAAGCGUUAUCCGGAUUUACUGGGUGUAAAGGGCGUGUAGGCGGGAAAGCAAGUCAGAUGUGAAAACCAUGGGCUCAACCUGUGGCCUGCAUUUGAAACUGUUUUUCUUGAGUACUGGAGAGGCAGACGGAAUUCCUAGUGUAGCGGUGAAAUGCGUAGAUAUUAGGAGGAACACCAGUGGCGAAGGCGGUCUGCUGGACAGCAACGGACGCUGAGGCGCGAAAGUGUGGGGAGCAAACAGGAUUAGAUACCCUUGUAGUC